rnacentral:rRNA from 1 species
UACGGGGGGGGCAAGCGUUGUUCGGAAUUACUGGGCGUAAAGGGCUCGUAGGCGCCAACUAAGUCGGACGUGAAAUCCCCAGGCUCAACCUGGGAACUGCGUCCGAUACUGGAUGGCUUGAAUCCGGGAGAGGGAUGCAGAAUUCCAGGUGUAGCGGUGAAAUGCGUAGAUAUCUGGAGGAAUACCGGUGGCGAAGGCGGCAUCCUGGACCGGCAUUGACGCUGAGGAGCGAAAGCCAGGGGAGCAAACGGG